GGUUUCUUAGUGUAAUGGUUAUCACAGCAGAUUCUGAUUCCGCUAAUCUGGGUUCGAUUUACAGGGAGACCU
rnacentral:tRNA from 1 species